AGUGAACGCUGGCGGUAGGUCUAACACAUGCAAGUCGAACGGCAGCACAGAGGAGCUUGCUCCUUGGGUGGCGAGUGGCGGACGGGUGAGGAAUACAUCGGAAUCUACUCUGUCGUGGGGGAUAACGUAGGGAAACUUACGCUAAUACCGCAUACGACCUACGGGUGAAAGCAGGGGAUCUUCGGACCUUGCGCGAUUGAAUGAGCCGAUGUCGGAUUAGCUAGUUGGCGGGGUAAAGGCCCACCAAGGCGACGAUCCGUAGCUGGUGUGAGAGGAUGAUCAGCAACACUGGAACUGAGACACGGUCCAGACGCCUACGGGAGGCAGCAGUGGGGAAUAUUGGACAAUGGGCGCAGGCCUGAUCCAGCCAUACCGCGUGGGUGAAGAAGGCCUUCGGGUUGUAAAGCCCUUUUGUUGGGAAAGAAAUCCAUCUGGUUAAUACCCGGGUGGGAUGACGGUACCCAAAGAAUAAGCACCGGCUAACUUCGUGCCAGCCGCCGCGGUAA
rnacentral:rRNA from 1 species